ACCAUGGAUCCAUUUGGAUCCAUCUCCCUUUUAAAUAAAGUAUUAA
rfam:Sarcophilus harrisii ctg7180002516629, whole genome shotgun sequence.